rnacentral:rRNA from 1 species
UACAGAGGUCCCAAGCGUUGUUCGGAUUCACUGGGCGUAAAGGGUGCGUAGGCGGUCGGGUAAGUCUGAUGUGAAAUCUCACAGCUUAACUGUGAAACUGCAUUGGAUACUAUCCGGCUCGAGGAAUGGAGGGGAGACUGGAAUACUUGGUGUAGCAGUGAAAUGCGUAGAUAUCAAGUGGAACACCAGUGGCGAAGGCGAAUCUCUGGACAGUUACUGACGCUGAGGCACGAAGGCCAGGGGAGCAAACGGG